AAUGCCUUCUCACAACCGUUGUGAUUGCACUCGAACGGUUUUACUUUUGUGUGUACUCUAAUGUGGAUCUUAAGGCUGUACGAGAUUUCCUACGGUGCUGUAAGUGCGUGAGCAACCGUCGUACUCGCACUCGUAACGACUAAUGUGCUUUUGAUUGGUGUCUGGAUCUGUACUCUCGAUCGUGAUCGUUGCAUGCGAAGGAUCAUCCGGCAUUGAGUCAUGUUGACCAGGAUGAAUUCGCAUGUAAAUUUCAUUAGGGCUUAUCGUGUGAUGUAUAUAUCUGAAAUUUAAUGCAAGAUUCCCUUUUUAGUCACUUCUCUAAGCUUCGUAACUGAAAUUGUAAGAAAAGUUUUGUGUUAAUAUUUUACUGAAUCAAAUAUGGUAUAUUCAUUCCAACAAAUUUUCAUGCGUAGAUUAGAAAAACUAUUAAAAAAAACAUGUUCGUGUUUGAGAUAUAUCAUAAAUAUAAUAGUCAACGUAAUGUCAAGUUCUCAAAAAAUUUGUGGUAUGCGAGUAUGACAGUAUGAAUCAGAUUGUAGAAAUUGGCACCUCUCCUGUGAAAUGAAUCAAUGCUACUUUAUAAUUCGGAAUAUUUAAAAUAAAGUGUCAGAAUCACUUAUAUUCCGGGCUGAAUCACAGUAUUCAAAUGCAAGUACUCAAUGGAAAAAAACUUUUUUAAUUUUAGUGCAAUUGAAUGGCAAUUAAAAUUAUAAUGUGAUUCGGUUCUAUGUAUGUUUCUGUUGAAAUUAAUAAAUUGAGUAGAAUUUUUA